rnacentral:rRNA from 1 species
GUUAGGAAUAUUGGACAAUGGGCGCAAGCCUGAUCCAGCCAUGCCGCGUGAGUGAUGAAGGCCUUCGGGUUGUAAAGCUCUUUAGUCCACGAAUAUAAUGACUGUAGUGGAAGAAUAAGCCCCGGCUAACUUCGUGCCAGCAGCCGCGGUAAUACGAAGGGGGCGAGCGUUAUUCGGAAUCACUGGGCGUAAAGCGUGCGUAGGCUGUUUUGUAAGUCAGAAGUGAAAGCCCAGGGCUUAACCCUGGAAUUGCUUUUGAAACUACAAGACUCGAAUUCGGGAGAGGAUAGCGGAAUUGUCAGUGUAGCAGUGAAAUGCGUAGAUAUUGACAGGAACACCAGUGGCGCAAGCGGCUAUCUGGACCAAUAUUGACGCUGAGGCACGAAAGCGUGGGGAGCAAACAGGAUUAGAAACCCUGGUAGUCC